UUCCAUUUUCUUUACAUGUGGACACAUUCUUUGAAGAACAAGAAAACCAAAAAUCACUGUUUUCCACUUAUGAGAAUAUCACUGCUUAAAAACUCUCAUGCAUUAACUGCAGUCAGUAACCACGAUCCAAACUGUAAAGAUGGAAGGUUUGACACCGAUAGCUCGGGAGGGAAUAACUACUUAGGAUUUGGAAAUCAGCAACACAGUACCUAAGAUUUUAUAUGCAGUGUUCCAACAUUAGGGAAAUGGGAUGAUAAGCAUCUCUGUAAAACAGCGUACAAACCAGGCAGCUCUAUAAGAACCGCAGCAGGGUUAGGUGUCCAGGAAGUACCUGCAAAGAUUCCCAAACAGACAUCCAGACUGUUCUACACAGCUUCCUUCAUGCUAGGAACCUGUUUUAAGAUGGCCUCUUCCACAGUUCUUGGUAAAGGUCUACCGGAACCCACUGGACCAAAAGAUAAUGGCACACAUGACAAUAGUGGAGCAAUUCUGGAAGGACACACCAAAAUUCUGUCUUGUCAUCAUAGAAUCAUAGAGUAUCCCCAGCUUGAAAGGAUCCAACAAUCCAACAAAGGUCAUCGAGUCCAUCUCCCUUGAAGCCCCGGACAUUUCAAAGAGAGAUCAAUUGCAGUCCCUUGAAAUCUUGAUGCCCCGG
rnacentral:lncRNA from 1 species